AUUCUGAAGGGCCAGAGACACCAAACUGUAGCUUGAAAACCCCCAGGGCUGUCACUCGCAUCUGCCCUGGGAUUGACAGGUCACUGCAACACUGUCACUCUUGGCAGUAAGCCAGUAACUCAUGUGUGUAUGUGUGUGUGUGGGGGGGAGGGUUGGCUUGCUUUCGCCUUUAAAUAACUCUCUUCUUUUUCUUUCCUAUUGAACAACCCUUCGAGUUCAUUGCUGAAUUGGCUACCGGUGCUGUCUUUGGUGUAAGAGCGAAGGUACCAAUUGAUCCCGGGAAGGACGUGACUAAUUCAGUAAAACUCUUUCUGAACUCUUUGGCCUAACCACAGUUCCCCCAGGAGCGAGAGCGUGUGGGCCGGGACGGGGAAAGGAAUGCAGGCCGUGGAAAUUCCCUUUUUGCAACAGCCCUGCAUGUGACUGGCCGGUGAAGGAUCAGUGGCCAAAGAGGACAUCUGGCAGCCGCUUCAGUUCUAUUGGGUCGGACACGGCUCAAAAUUGCAGCGUCGACGGAAGCGCUGGGCUCCAGUUUGAACGUCUAUGCUGCGGGUAUUUUACUGCAGCGUAAACAGAUCUCGUGCGUCUGCUCCCUGCCCAGCACAACAGGCCCUGACCUCCGCCCUGAGACAAAUAAUAAUACUAAAACUCAGGAGGGCGGCGGGUCUUGAUUUGCAGCCAUACAACUUGAAUCAAAGAGGUGUGGAGACGCUUGGACUAGCAGGAAACGUUUUAUAUGCUCCCACGGAGCGUGUUGUUUGAGACUCCCAUAACGCAUAUAUAAGGAGAUGCUGAUAUACUGUCUGUACGUUUCAUUAGUCUGUUGAUUAUGGCGGAUGUGUUGACAGUCGUGGGUGACGUAUGAGGUGCAAAUCAGAGCAGGCAGCAUGGAGACAUCACGGCUCGCUUGGCCAAAAGAAGCUGCAAUGAAGCGCACGAGGCAACUCAGCCAGAAUGCUUGUUUCAUACAUUUUUCUGGGGCGUGCAAAGUUUUUGCCAGACAGCACUCGGGGGCUGGGCUGUGAGACGCUGAACAAGUCCUCGGAGGUGGAACAUGUAUGUAGCUCCCAUUGGAUAAGCAUCUUUGUUGGGUUUACUUCCAAAUGGGCGUCACCGAAAAGUGGUGUUCCCGGGAGAUCUCAGAGGCAAUGAAAUUAGACUUGCCCGGUGUCGCUUUUGAGGCGAGCAAGGCAAAUCGUGGAUUUUUCAAUUCAUUGGCAAUGUUGAAAAGUUGGGGAAAAACUUGUGUCAGAUUUGAUCCAAACCAGAAACAUUCAUAAUUGUUGAUGACUCUAAAAAUAAAAGUAAAUCAGUUGGGGGUUGAACCUAAUGUGUCCUUUGAUCCAAAUGAAAAUGCUUUGUUUUGACUUUAUUUCUUCCUUGAAAUGGUUUAGAAAUGAUUA